AUACGGAGGGUGCAAGCGUUACUCGGAAUCACUGGGCGUAAAGGAUGCGUAGGCGGAUAAUCAAGUCAAAAGUGAAAUCCCACGGCUUAACCGUGGAACUGCUUUCGAAACUGGUUAUCUAGAAUAUGGAAGAGGCAGAUGGAAUUAGUGGUGUAGGGGUAAAAUCCGUAGAGAUCACUAGGAAUACCGAUUGCGAAGGCGAUCUGCUGGGACAUUAUUGACGCUGAGGCAUGAAAGCGUGGGGAGCAAACAGGAUUAGAUACCCCUGUAGUCC
rnacentral:rRNA from 1 species